UCUGCAUCGUGAAUGGCUAGGUUCAUGGUUCGAGGAAGAACGUGGCAACCUGUGAUAAUACUUGGGAUUUGCAGGCUUGACCAAUAGUUCUUCGAACAGCUUGACCGCACCUGUA
rnacentral:rRNA from 1 species